AUUGAACGCUGGCGGCAUGCCUUACACAUGCAAGUCGAACGGCAGCACGGGAGCAAUCCUGGUGGCGAGUGGCGAACGGGUGAGUAAUGUAUCGGAACGUGCCCAGUCGUGGGGAUAACGUAGCGAAAGCUACGCUAAUACCGCAUACGAUCUAUGGAUGAAAGCGGGGGAUCGCAAGACCUCGCGCGAUUGGAGCGGCCGAUAUCAGAUUAGGUAGUUGGUGAGGUAAAGGCUCACCAAGCCGACGAUCUGUAGCUGGUCUGAGAGGACGACCAGCCACACUGGGACUGAGACACGGCCCAGACUCCUACGGAGGCAGCAGUGGGAAUUUUGGACAAUGGGCGCAAGCCUGAUCCAGCAAUGCCGCGUGUAGGAUGAAGGCCUUC
rnacentral:rRNA from 1 species